UAGAGUUUGAUCCUGGCUCAGAUUGAACGCUGGCGGCAGGCCUAACACAUGCAAGUCGAACGGUAACAGGAAACAGCUUGCUGUUUCGCUGACGAGUGGCGGACGGGUGAGUAAUGUCUGGGAAACUGCCUGAUGGAGGGGGAUAACUACUGGAAACGGUAGCUAAUACCGCAUAACGUCGCAAGACCAAAGAGGGGGACCUUCGGGCCUCUUGCCAUCGGAUGUGCCCAGAUGGGAUUAGCUUGUUGGUGGGGUAACGGCUCACCAAGGCGACGAUCCCUAGCUGGUCUGAGAGGAUGACCAGCCACACUGGAACUGAGACACGGUCCAGACUCCUACGGGAGGCAGCAGUGGGGAAUAUUGCACAAUGGGCGCAAGCCUGAUGCAGCCAUGCCGCGUGUAUGAAGAAGGCCUUCGGGUUGUAAAGUACUUUCAGCGGGGAGGAAGGGAGUAAAGUUAAUACCUUUGCUCAUUGACGUUACCCGCAGAAGAAGCACCGGCUAACUCCGUGCCAGCAGCCGCGGUAAUACGGAGGGUGCAAGCGUUAAUCGGAAUUACUGGGCGUAAAGCGCACGCAGGCGGUUUGUUAAGUCAGAUGUGAAACCCCCGGGCUCAACCUGGGAACUGCAUCUGAUACUGGCAAGCUUGAGUCUCGUAGAGGGGGGUAGAAUUCCAGGUGUAGCGGUGAAAUGCGUAGAGAUCUGGAGGAAUACCGGUGGCGAAGGCGGCCCCCUGGACGAAGACUGACGCUCAGGUGCGAAAGCGUGGGGAGCAAACAGGAUUAGAUACCCUGGUAGUCCACGCCGUAAACGAUGUCGACUUGGAGGUUGUGCCCUUGAGGCGUGGCUUCCGGAGCUAACGCGUUAAGUCGACCGCCUGGGGAGUACGGCCGCAAGGUUAAAACUCAAAUGAAUUGACGGGGGCCCGCACAAGCGGUGGAGCAUGUGGUUUAAUUCGAUGCAACGCGAAGAACCUUACCUGGUCUUGACAUCCACGGAAGUUUUCAGAGAUGAGAAUGUGCCUUCGGGAACCGUGAGACAGGUGCUGCGUGGCUGUCGUCAGCUCGUGUUGUGAAAUGUUGGGUUAAGUCCCGCAACGAGCGCAACCCUUAUCCUUUGUUGCCGGCGGUCCGGCCGGGAACUCAAAGGAGACUGCCAGUGAUAAACUGGAGGAAGGUGGGGAUGACGUCAAGUCAUCAUGGCCCUUACGACCAGGGCUACACACGUGCUACAAUGGCGCAUACAAAGAGAAGCGACCUCGCGAGAGCAAGCGGACCUCAUAAAGUGCGUCGUAGUCCGGAUUGGAGUCUGCAACUCGACUCCAUGAAGUCGGAAUCGCUAGUAAUCGUGGAUCAGAAUGCCACGGUGAAUACGUUCCCGGGCCUUGUACACACCGCCCGUCACACCAUGGGAGUGGGUUGCAAAAGAAGUAGGUAGCUUAACCUUCGGGAGGGCGCUUACCACUUUGUGAUUCAUGACUGGGGUGAAGUCGUAACAAGGUAGCCGUA
rnacentral:rRNA from 1 species